GAUGAACGCUGGCGGCGUGCUUAACACAUGCAAGUCGAACGGUGAAGGCGGAGCUUGCUCUGCUGGAUCAGUGGCGAACGGGUGAGUAACACGUGAGCAAUCUGCCCCUGACUCUGGGAUAAGCGCUGGAAACGGCGUCUAAUACUGGAUACGAGCUGCGAAGGCAUCUUCAGCAGCUGGAAAGAACUUCGGUCAGGGAUGAGCUCGCGGCGUAUCAGCUUGUUGGUGAGGUAACGGCUCACCAAGGCGUCGACGGGUAGCCGGCCUGAGAGGGUGACCGGCCACACUGGGACUGAGACACGGCCCAGACUCCUACGGGAGGCAGCAGUGGGGAAUAUUGCACAAUGGGCGAAAGCCUGAUGCAGCAACGCCGCGUGAGGGACGACGGCCUUCGGGUUGUAAACCUCUUUUAGCAGGGAAGAAGCGAAAGUGACGGUACCUGCAGAAAAAGCGCCGGCUAACUACGUG
rnacentral:rRNA from 1 species